GAUGAAGAACGUAGCGAAACGCGAUAAGUAAUGUGAAUUGCAGAAUCCAGUGAAUCAUCGAAUCUUUGAACGCACAUUGCGCCCGCCAGCAUUCUGGCGGGCAUGCCUGUUCGAGCGUCAUUUCAACCCUCGACCUCCCCUUGGGGAGGUCGGCGUUGGGGACCGGCAGCAUACCGCCGGCCCUGAAAUGGAGUGGCGGCCCGUCCGCGGCGACCUCUGCGCAGUAAUACAGCUCGCACCGGGACCCCGACGCGGCCACGCCGUAAAACACCCAACUUCUGAACGUUGACCUCGAAUCAGGUAGGACUACCCGCUGAACUUAAGCAUAUCAAUAAGCGGAGGA
rnacentral:misc_RNA from 1 species